GGCGGGGCGGGGCCUGAAAGAGUCUAGGGAGGGCUUUGAGUGCUGGGCAGGAGUGUUAGGCAGAUGCUUUGGUGGAGGCUGAAGGCUUGGGCAGGGCUAGGCACAGAGUCAGGGUCUUGGGGCAAGGAAUGGGCAGAAUCAGGAUGCAGAGCUGGGCUGGAGACAGGAUUUGACAGUAUAGAAAGAAAAACAACAUCACUUUAUUGGAGUGAAAAAUAGGGAACAAAAUCACUUUGUUGGGAAAAGGAG
rnacentral:lncRNA from 1 species